GGCCUUAUCCUUAUAUCCCUCACCUCUGUGAACUGUGGACCCUCGGGUCCGUCUUUAACAAACAUCAGUGUAAUGAACGUGUAAAUACAUAACAAAACAAAACUUUCAACAACGGAUCUCUUGGCUCUCGCAUCGAUGAAGAACGCAGCGAAAUGCGAUAAGUAAUGUGAAUUGCAGAAUUCAGUGAAUCAUCGAAUCUUUGAACGCACCUUGCGCCUUUUGGUAUUCCGAAAGGCAUGCCUGUUUGAGUGUCAUGAAAUCUCAAUCCCCUCGGGUUUAUGAUCUGGGUGGGACUUGGACUUGGGCGUCUGCCGGUUACACGGCUCGCCUCAAAUGACUUAGUGGAUCUCUCUGCAUCCGUGACAGACGUAAUAAGUUUCGUCUUGUCCCUUGCUGGAUGAGUCCGCUCACAACCUGCCAUCGCGCACUUUAGACUCUGACCUCAAAUCAGGUAGGACUACCCGCUGAACUUAAGCAUAUCAAUAA
rnacentral:rRNA from 1 species